ACACACUGACACACGUCCCCCACUGCAGUUAUAAACCAACCACAAUGAAUUAAAUCAAACGGGAAACCAAUUCAGGCUGUUAUCAAUCGCCAUUUAUUCAUUCCUCCAUCUCUCCUCUCAUUGAGAGAGAGAGAGAGGCCAAUUUCCGUACACACACGCAGAGGGGUUUUUGUGGAGUGGAGUGUGUUUGAUUUCAUCUGAGACUGAGAUGGUCAUGACGGAGGUGAUUUGGUGGGAGAAAAUGGUGAUUCCGAUGCGGAAAGUUUGGGGCAGAGUCUCCAGAAGGUUUGGAUUUCGUAAAACAGCCUGUAGGUGUAAAAGAAUUAAAGGAGGAGCCAAUUUGAUUAGAGAAAAAUCAAAGAUGUUAAAUAGAAGUGUUGGUAGAUUGUGAUAGCUUCGGUUUUUUUGAGCUCGGUGAUGAUGUUCGGUGUCAGAGCUCGGUGUUACGAGCUUAAUCGAGUUCGGUGUUAGAGUUCGGUAGUUCGGCACCAAGUUCGGUAGCUCGGCAGCUCCGUGGUCUGGAGAGAACGAUCAAAACAUGAAGAAGAGUUCGGCUGUUAUAACAACUCGUUUCAACAGCCGUUGGAUGUACUUAGUUAGUCAUGUUUAAUCCUGACCGUUAGAUGGAAAAUAGCCGUUAGUUAGUUUUGAGCUUUUAAUAGUUUGUUAUUCUGCUUUAUUCAGUAAUUUUUCAUCUUCCGUUUCUGGUGAAUAAAAUUCUCUUUCGAUUUCCAA